rnacentral:tRNA from 1 species
GGCGUAGCUCAGUCGGUAGAGCAGCUGAUUUGUAAUCAGCAGGUCGUCGGUUCGAGUCCGGCCGCC